AGUGCAAGAGAGAAGAGGCAUGCAUGUCCGCAGCAGCUUCUGUCAGCUCCUGGAAGCGGGCUCCCUGAAGACUGCAGCCCCUGCAGCCCCCACCGCAAGUUGGAUCCCGGAUCUGCACAUCGGGAGCCUUUGGAGCCGGUUCUGCUGCAGGCGAUUAUGCAAAGUGACAAGUGAUUGCUUUCCUUUUCAAAGACAACCCCUUUGGAAAAAGCUUUUUCCUUUGAAGACUCCAGGGAAAUGGGGGAUGGGUGGGAAC
rnacentral:lncRNA from 1 species